rnacentral:lncRNA from 1 species
GCCAUUUCCGCGCUGGCUCUUCGGGUCGCAACCGCACGAUUCCAACUUGCCCUGGCCGCAAGCCUUUGAUACGGAAUGAGCCACUCCAGCGGAGGAAACGGCGUACGCGAACGCUGUUUCCCGAUAACCUAAAUGUUGGACAUUCGCUGGAUGUUGAGGUGACAUCCUUAUCGGAUUGAACGUUUGUACGGUGAUGAUAUCUUUGGGCCCACUAAGCCGCAAAGGAGAUGGACAAGACCACAAAAAAAAAAAAAAAUGGAAUAACAUCUGGAUGGGAAAAUAGCUGUGUUAAAUCUCAGUGUAAAAGAUCCACGAACAUUUUUUUUUUUACUCGCUUGAAGAAGCAACUCACUAUAGCAAAAAUAACGAAGCUUUUGGAGUGCGCCAUUGUCCGUUUAUAACUUGACAUUUACCACACAAGAAGCUCUAGCCGCUUGUAUAGGCGGAUAAAAUGCAGCCCCGGAUGAUUACACGUUACAACGCACAUUGAUCCCCAUGUUAUUCACCUUCAUUUCUGCGCUACGGUAUAAGAAGGGAAGCUGAAAUAAGAUGCGCAAUCACUUUUCAAGGUUCAACCGUGGCAUGUUCAAAACCUUCAAGCACGACAACGUCUAGAAGCCAUUUCUAGACGUAGUUUUAAAAAUGGCUUACUUGGCAUAUCCGUUUCUGGAAAAACAGGCCAUUUAAAAUUAUCAAUGAUUAGCGUGACUACACAGCCGAUUUUCAAAAUUCCGCUGAGAGGAUAGGAGGAUGAAAUGAGACCCAGACCGGAGUCGGGUUCUUCUACAUACAUUGGGACGCAAUAACUAAUUUAUACAUAACACCGUAGCCGUGGCCCUUUCCCCCCACCAUCAGCCAGAUGAAGGCCUCAUGUGUAUGCGGAUGAUGAUGAUGCUAAUCGCGAGACUACCCAAAGAAAUGCAAAGAUGAAAACAGCAGCAGGUCGCGGUUCGUUCCCGAAAGAAAAAAAAUGUAUAAAUAUUUCUUUCUAAGACAACAUUUUUUUUUCGGCUUCAUCAUGCUCUUAUUGAUCGAUUGUGCUCUGUCUUUUCUCUCACUCGAAUCUUAAUCGACCGACGUGGGCCCCCGUGUAGCUUUUUUUUCAUUUUCCGCUUUUGUGUGUGUGUGUUGCUGCUUUUUUCUUAGACUCAUUCUUCUUUGAUCCCCUUCUUUUCUUCUAUUUCUGACCCCUCUGUUGAGUGUAUUAUCCAGAUCAUCAGAGCCAGUUUGAAUGGUCAGACCACCCAGCCGAACAUGCAUCCGUAUCUGCCACGACGUGCACACAAAAGAAAUAACAUCCUCGAAAGAACGGACUUCCAUGUUAUUCUUGAUUUCGUUUUUGGCUUUUGUUCCUAUUUUCUUUUAUCCUUAUUCUUUCCCCCCUCCAUUUCUGACUAUUGUACGUGUUGCGAGAGUUCCAGGUGGACCCCGCUAGUCAAAUUCUGAUGUCCGAGAAAAGCGCAUCACGUCAUAAAAAUAAAGAAGACAUCCAUUAUAGACUAGCGCAAGAAGAUAAAGAUGGCAAUAUAAUUAAUGGACUUGGCAAACCCGAAGCCGUUCCGCUACUAGUUCAUUGAGAACGAUCUGUCAAGAUCUGCAUAUUUUUCUCUCUCUGAAAAAAAAAAAUGCGCCGAUUGCAUCCAUCAUUGAAUCGCAAGGGCUUUCAUUAUAGAAACACGACCGCUGAGCGCGUUUGCUAACGUCGACAAGAGGCUACCAGUCCUAGUCAGCAUAGAUUACGUCUGUCCACCACAUGAGACGAACAAGACCUUAUCCAAACAAAAAAAAAAAAUAAUAAUGCUCUAUUCUAAAGAAACAUAAAUUUGGAUAUGUCCGGUGGAUGCGAGGAAGGAAAGGCAAAAUGCGAGAGAUAGCCAUGAGAAUUGAGACAUGACCACGUAGAAAAAGAAAACGAAAGCUUCUGAGCUUUACGCAGAUGUCACUCUCUUUUCGGAGUAGCCUCUCACAUCUCUCAUGAAAAACGUAGAAACCGUUACCAGCUGACGAAUCUCUAAUUGUGUGUUAGCUAGCGACGUGAGUCAAUCGAUUCGACACGGUCGGGACCCUUUUUGCCAGCUGAAAUCUGUGCGGUGUUGAGCUUCUCUUGUGUGGCGUUUACAUGAAACGUUUACAUUAUAAAUACACAUAGAACUCGAAAAAAAAAAAAAGGAUGAAAAGCCCUCGACUACCAAUACAAGUAGGCAUUUCUCAAACGUCUUAGCUCUAUCUGGUUUAAUAAGCGACAUUCUUCGGAGACAGAGAAAGAAAGGUGGCACAUGCAACAAGCUGCUGCUUACUAUCGCGUCACGUUCACAUACAGCCAUUUCAAUGGUCCAGGACGAGGGGGGGCUACAAUAGACACGGACCUCUUGGUUACAUUCAGAAGAAACAGAGAGAAGAAAACCAGUCUGGGGGGUUUCUUGUCAAAAGCGAACCAAGCGCGUCCAUUCAUCCCGAUGAAAUACUUUUUUGUAUGUGUGUGUGUAUGUUGCUCUUGUGCGUCUUGUUGAUGUGAAGAAAUCGUCUGCGUCCCCCCUCUACCUUUAACCAAAAAAAAAAAGCCAAGGAAAACUUGCUCGCUCACUGAUGAUUGUCUGCCAUGACGCUUUAGGGUUUCCUUUCUCUCUCUCUUGUUUGAUAACCAUCGCUUUUGUGUGUGUGUGUGUGUGUUGUUUUCUUCGUUAUUUGGUUGACGUCUUGUUCUUCCUUUCAUCGAUAAUAGUAACAGCUUGGGGGGUUCAACGCAUUGUUCGAUGCUUACGAAAUAUCCAAUUGCCAUCGUAGCACAACGUUUCGAAGGCGAGAUCCAUCAGUAAAUGGAAAAGAAUGAGGCGGAAUCGGAUUAUUACAACCAAGGCUAUAUCGCUGAUGGCUUAUCAUCUUCUCUCCGCACAUUGGCUUGCAUAUCGAGUAACCGGUAAUGGCUUUUUAUGUACAAAUUAUUUUUUUGUUUUAGUUCUUAAAAUACAGA